UACGAAGGGGGCUAGCGUUGCUCGGAAUCACUGGGCGUAAAGCGCACGUAGGCGGACUCUUAAGUCGGGGGUGAAAUCCUGGAGCUCAACUCCAGAACUGCCUUCGAUACUGAGAGUCUCGAGUCCGGGAGAGGUGAGUGGAACUGCGAGUGUAGAGGUGACAUUCGUAGAUAUUCGCAAGAACACCAGUGGCGAAGGCGGCUCACUGGACGACUGUUGACGCUGAGGUACGAAAGCGUGGGGAGCAAACAGG
rnacentral:rRNA from 1 species